rnacentral:rRNA from 1 species
GUUAAAAUGACUCUCGGCAACGGAUAUCUCGGCUCUUGCAUCGAUGAAGAACGUAGCGAAAUGCGAUACUUGGUGUGAAUUGCAGAAUCCCGUGAACCAUCGAGUCUUUGAACGCAAGUUGCGCCCGAAGCCAUUAGGCUAAGGGCACGCCUGCCUGGGUGUCACUAA